GAGUUUGAUCAUGGCUCAGGACGAACGCUGGCGGCGCGCUUAACACAUGCAAGUCGAGCGAGAACCGGGGCUUCGGCCCCGGGGACAGCGGCGAACGGGUGAGUAACACGUGGGUAACCUGCCCUCGGCACCGGGAUAGCCCGGGGAAACCCGGAUUAAUACCGGACAGCCUCCGGAGCCUUCGGGCGCCGGAGAAAAGGUGGCUUCGGCUUCCGGCCGAGGAGGGGCCUGCGGCGGAUUAGCUUGUUGGCGGGGUAACGGCCCACCAAGGCGACGAUCCGUAGCUGGUCUGAGAGGACGAUCAGCCACACUGGGACUGAGACACGGCCCAGACUCCUACGGGAGGCAGCAGUGGGGAAUCUUGCACAAUGGGCGCAAGCCUGAUGCAGCGACGCCGUGUGCGGGAAGAAGGCCUUC
rnacentral:rRNA from 1 species